AAAAUUAUACAACAGGCAGGUUUGCCGGGGCAGCUCUUCUUCCGUCUGUGUCCUUCAAUCCCCUGCACCACAGCUGCAGCCUUGUCACACAUACUGUGAGAUGUGGGUUGGGGCCAGAAACAAACACUGGCAGAUGGUGACACUUGGUCUCGGCUCUGAUGAUCUGCAAGAACCUCCAGUUGGAAGGACCAAUUACCACCCCAUCCCCUCAGGGAAGACCUAUCAGAUGUAUGUGGGCUUGUAAUAAUGAUUUGGAAGAAGCUGCUCUCUGAGCACAGCGAUCUGGGCAUGCUAGUCAGCAGGUUGUAAUUAGUUAAUUAAACGCCUGGGCUGACAGAAUGGCCCCAUGGGUCGCUGCCAUGCAGGCCGCUCCAGACAAGAGCAGGAAAUGCAGGAAUCUGCGGGGCCUUUCCCCAUAAAAUGUCACUGGAAGGCAGAGGAAGGACGAGGUGGGCAAUUCAUGUCUGAGGCUGCUGAAACAAAAAGGAGACACAGAAACAAGGCAUUCAUAAGGCCCCUGGCAUCCGCAGAUGCUGGGGUCAUGGCUGCUGUACGAAGGAGGCUAACACCGGAAGUAAGCGGUCUCUUGGAAGAGCCUGCAAAGGAGAGCCCAACUAAAGGAUGGUGGGCCACGGAGAGCUGGUGAGGGAGAGGGGCAGAGGCUGGCAGGGAAGAGCAGCUGUAACAAGGAGCCACGGGAUCUUGAGAUAACAUGGCAGUCCAUCCUGGGGUCGUGGCUGUUGUACGAAGGAGGCUAACACCGGAAGUAAGCGGUCUCUUGGAAGAGCCUGCAAAGGAGAGCCCAACUAAAGGAUGGUGGGCCACAGAGAGCUGGUGCCUGAAACUUUCCCUCGAGUCCUCAUUGGUCUGAGCGCACCUGUAUUCCAGCCUGUCCUGAGUAUAUCUCUCAGCCCACGCUCUGCCCACCUCUUUUCUUGUUUGCCUUCUCUGCUCCUUUUGUUCUUUGAGUAUUCCAAGAC
rnacentral:lncRNA from 1 species